GCGGCCGCUGGCUCGGCACCUUCCGACGGCCGCGCACUGCCGGCACCGCCGCCGCCCAGGAACUGACCGCAAACGAGGCCGCCAGACCUACACCCGCUACCAGACCCUGGAGCUGGAGAAAGAAUUUCACUACAAUCGCUACCUGACGCGGCGGCGGCGCAUCGAGAUCGCGCACGCGCUCUGCCUCACGGAAAGACAGAUCAAGAUUUGGUUUCAGAACCGGCGCAUGAAGUGGAAAAAGGAGAACAAGACCGCGGGCCCGGGGACCACCGGCCAGGACAGGGCUGAAGCAGAGGAGGAAGAGGAAGAGUGAGGGAUGGAGAAAGGGCAGAGGAAGAGACAUGAGAAAGGGAGAGGAAGAGAAGCCCAGCUCUGGGAACUGAAUCAGGAAACUCAAAUCGAAUAGGGAAGUAAAAAACAAAACAAAAAACAAAAAAACAAAAAAAAAAACCCUAUUUAAAUGAAAGGAGUUUAAAAACAUUUUUUAAGGAGGGAGAAAGGAGAAAUUUUGGUUUUUCAACACUGAA
rnacentral:sRNA from 1 species